rnacentral:tRNA from 1 species
UAGAGAGGAGCAUGAUGGGAGUGCAGGGGGUUUUGAUCCCUCAGGAGUAGGUUCGAGUCCUGUCUCUCUAA